UGUGCGAGUAAAGUUGAUGUACAGUCUGACCUGCCCACUGAAGUUUUUAAAGGGCCGCGGUAUCUGAACCGUGCUAAGGUAGCAUAAUAAAUAGUCUUUUAAUUGAGGUCUAGUAUGAACGGUUGGACAUGAAGUAAGCUGUUUUAACUGCAAGGGUUGAACUUUACUUUUAAGUGAAAAGGCUUAAAUUUUAUGAUGGGACGAUAAGACCCUAUAAAGCUUUACGUGUUAUCUGUUUGUUAAAGAGUGUACGGUUCUCUACUCUUAUCAGUUAAAGACGUUUCGUUGGGGCGACGAAAAUAUAAAAUGGUAACUGUUUUUAUUGUAAAAAUAAAUUUUUUUAGGGGAGUUGAUCCUUCAUAGAGAUUAUAAGAAUUAAGUUACUUUAGGGAUAACAGCGUAAUUUUUCUUGAGAGUUCAUAUCGACAGAAGUAGUUGCGACCUCGAUGUUGAAUUAAGAUACCCCUUAGGUGUAGAAGUUUUGGUGGUAGGUCUGUUCGACCUUUAAAAUCUUACAUGAUUUGAGUUCAGACCGGCGUG
rnacentral:rRNA from 1 species